CCUACGGGGGGCUGCAGUGGGGAAUUUUGGACAAUGGGGGCAACCCUGAUCCAGCCAUGCCGCGUGCGGGAAGAAGGCCUUCGGGUUGUAAACCGCUUUUAGCCGGGAAGAAAAGGCGUAGGAUAACACCCUUCGUUCUUGACGGUACCGGCGGAAUAAGCACCGGCUAACUACGUGCCAGCAGCCGCGGUAAUACGUAGGGUGCGAGCGUUGUUCGGAGUUACUGGGCGUAAAGCGUGCGCAGAUGGGUAAGCCCCGGGCUCAACCUGGGAAUGGCAUUGGAGACUGGCGGGCGUGAGUGUGGCAGAGGGGGGUGGAAUUCCGCGUGUAGCAGUGAAAUGCGUAGAGAUGCGGAGGAACACCGAUGGCGAAGGCAGCCCCCUGGGAUGACACUGACGCUCAGGCACGAAAGCGUGGGGAGCAAACAGGAUUAGAUACCCCUGUAGUC
rnacentral:rRNA from 1 species